rnacentral:rRNA from 1 species
CGCUCCUACGGGGGGCAGCAGUAGGGAAUUUUCGUCAAUGGGCGCAAGCCUGAACGAGCAAUGCCGCGUGAACGAGGAAGGUCUUCGGAUCGUAAAGUUCUGUUGAAGGGGAAAAAGAGCGGAGAGAGGAAAUGCUUUCUGAUUGAUAUUACCCUUCGAGGAAGUCACGGCUAACUACGUGCCAGCAGCCGCGGUAAUACGUAGGUGGCGAGCGUUAUCCGGAUUCACUGGGCGUAAAGGGAGCGCAGGCGGCACGGCAAGUCUGAUGUGAAAACCCGGGGCUCAACCCCGGGACUGCAUUGGAA